CACGAGUCGUAGUACUGGGCAUAUGGGAGGUCAGUGCAGAGGCAGAGGCAGUGGAUAUACCAGGAGAGGAAAGACACUGGAUAACACUGGAGACCAGCUGGAUGAGGUCAUGGACCUUCAAGGUGUUGGCAGAGGCAGUGGAUGUACCAGGAGAGGAAAGACUCUGGGUGACACUGUAGAUGAGCUGGGUACUGUCAGGGGUCCUCAUGGUGGUGGGAGAGUUAGAGGCAAUAGAUAUAUCAGGAGACAAAAGACUCUGAGUGAGACUAGAGACAGGCUCGGUGCCUUCAUGGGUCCCCAUGGUGGUGGCGGAGGCAGAAGCAAUGGAUGUAGCAGCAGAGAAAAGACCCUGGGCGAGAGCAGAGAUCUGCUGGGUGGUGUCAUGGGUCCCCAUGGUAGUGUAAGAGGCAGGGGCAAUGGAUGUAGCAGCAGAGAUAAGACCCUGGGUGACACUGGGAACUGGCUGGGUAGAGUUAUGGGUCCCCAUCGUGGUGGCAGAGGCAUUGGAUGUCCCAGCGGACAUAAGACCUUGGGUGACACUAGAGAUCAGCUGGGUGCCGUCAUGAGUCCCCAUGGUGGGGUCCGAUGUCCCAGCAGAGAGGAGACCCUGGGUGAGAGUGGAGACUGGCUGGGUGCCAUCAUGGAUCUCCAUGGGGGUGGCAGAGGCGCAGGUAAUGGACGUAACAGCAGGGAUAAGACCCUGGCUGAGAGUGGAGACGGGCUGGGUAUUGCCAUGGAUCCCCAUGGUGGUGUCAGAGGCCUUGGCUGUUGCAGCAGAGCUAAGACCCUGGGUGAGACUGGAGACCGGCUGGGUGUUGCCAUGGAUCCCCAGUGUGAUGUCAGAGGCAGAGGCAAUGGAUGUCCCAGCAGAGAAAAGACUCUGGGUGAGACUAGAGACCGGCUGGGGGUUGCCAUGGAUCCCCAUGGUGGGGUCAGAGGUAAUGGAAGCACGAGCACAGAUAAGACCCUGGGUGAGAGUGGAGACCGGCUGGGUGCCAUCAUGGAUCUCCAUGGGGGUGUCAGAGGCACAGAGAGGAGACCCUGGGUGAGAGUGGAGACCGGCUGGGAGUUGCCAUGGAUCCCCAUGGUGGUGUCAGAGACCUUGGCUGUUGCAGCAGAGACAAGGCCCUGGGUGAGAGUGGAGACCGGCUGGGUGCUACCAUUUUUCCCCAUGGUGGUGGCUGAGGCAGAGGCAAUGGAUGUCCCAGCAGAGAGGAGACCCUGGGUGAGAGUGGAGACCGGCUCGGUGCCAUCAUGGAUCUCCAUGGGGGUGUCAGAGGCAGAGUUUUCAGGUCUCCACGAUGGAGCCUGCUGGGAGAGUGGGCAUCUCCGUGCUGCUGCCUGUCAUCGCCCCACAACGAGCAGUGUUUGGAAGACUGGACAAGAAUGGGACACCAGAACCGGCGGCGGGACAGUGGCUCUGUGAGGAAGCAAGAGAGCUUGCACACACUGCGGGCAGAGACGCCACUUUGGAAGUCUUGGGGAUGGCAGGGAAGGCAGACCCAGCACCCACUGCUGCUCUUUCGGAGGCCCUGGGACCCAAAGGGGCCGGGUCCUCCCCAUACAGAGGGGCCUCCCAGCUGGACUUUCUCUUUCCCUUCCUGUGGGCAAGGGCCUCCCGGGCGGAAGGACCAGGCACUGAAGAUUUUCUCCUGAUACCAUCCUUGCCUACAGCGGCCAGUGACACAUCUGAGGCUGUGGCCGUGGAGUGCGAGGAGGAGCCCGGAAGGGCUUCUGAGGAGGAGGGGCAGGCAGCAGUCGAGGUGCUGCGCUUCCUUCCAGACCCAGGACGCACGGAGCUGGUCGCAGCAGCAGGCAACGAGUCUGGAUUUGGAACUCAGACAGGGGUGACUUCUGCUCCCACACAGAGUCAAUCAGUUUACUCAGCACCUUUGGUUGAGCUGCCGAAUGUCUAGAAACUAUCCACAGAGAGCUCCGGCUUCCUAUGAAGACAGACCCAAAGAUGCAGAAGUGAGGACCUCACUCCUUGGAGCUGCCACCUCGUCCAGAGGCGAAAUGGCAAUGACUGCUUGCUGCUGGAAGCUGCUUUGAGCAAGGGGGCAGAAAAAUAAAAACAACAAAGAAAUAUGUAUGCAAGCGCCAACAGUGCAAAACCUGCCUGGGCACCUGCGCCCUAGCAGCGAGGAAGGGCCCUCAUGGAGAGAAAAUGCAGGCACCCAGAUGCUUGAGGCACAGCCUGAGGGGCCACAUGUGAAGAAGCUGCAGAUCCGUCUCCUGGACCCAGUGAAGUUUCCUGACCUCCUCCCGGGGCCUGAGGGAGAUAGGUCAUUUCUGCAUCUCAGCUGUUUUGGAUGGUGCUGCAGUGAACAUGGGAGAGCAGAUGGCUUUGAUCCUGAUUUCUGUUCUAGUGGAGAGUUACCCAGAAGUGGAAUUCGCAGGCCACGCAUAGAUAAAAUAAGCCAGUCACAGGGUAAAUAAGCACAGAUUUACAUAUAUGAGGCACUUGAAAUAAAUGAUCUUAUCAAAACAGAGAGUACUAGGGUGGUUUCUGUGGCCUGGGGUGAGGGGAAUAAGACUUGCUCUUUAUUGAGUGCAGAAUUUCAAUUGUGGAUGGUGAAUAAGAUCUAAAGGUGUCCUGCACAACAAUAUGACUCUACUUAACAAUAUUGCAAUGUACACUUAGAAGCCGAUUAUGAGAUUAGAAAUCACAGGUCUUUGUACCAGGAUUAAAAGCACUGUUAGACAUUUUCUGGUUGGUAAAGAAAGGUUCAGGAAUAUAAAAUUAAAGGGUUUAUACAUUGAAUAAAUGUCAAAUUCUAUGAUCAGGCAAUUUCCAAAAAAUAAAAA